rnacentral:rRNA from 1 species
GACGAACGCUGGCGGCGCGCUUAACACAUGCAAGUCGAGCGAGAACCAGGGCUUCGGCCCUGGGGACAGCGGCGAACGGGUGAGUAACACGUGAGUAAUCUGCCCUCGGCACCGGGAUAGCCCGGGGAAACCCGGAUUAAUACCGGAUAGCCUCCGAAGCCUUCGGGCGUCGGAGCAAAGGUAGCUUCGGCCUCUGGCCGAGGAUGAGCUCGCGGCGGAUUAGCUUGUUGGUGGGGUAANGGCCCACCAAGGCGACGAUCCGUAGCUGGUCUGAGAGGACGAUCAGCCACACUGGGACUGAGACACGGCCCAGACUCCUACGGGAGGCAGCAGUGGGGAAUCUUGCGCAAUGGGCGAAAGCCUGACGCAGCGACGCCGCGUGCGGGAA